rnacentral:lncRNA from 1 species
GGGCCGCCCAUGGGUUCCAAAGGGUCCUUUUAUGGGGUCGGGUCCUGGAAGGUUGAAGUCAUAUAUGGCUGCCCAUGGGUUCCUCUAUGGGACCCCAUAGGGUUAGGUCCUGGAAGGUCAAAGUCUUAUAGGGCCGCUCAUGGGUUCCAAAGGGUCCUUUGAUGGGGUCGGGUCCUGGAAGGUCAAAGUCCUAUAGGGCCACUCAUGGGUUCCAAAGGGUUCUUUUAUGGGGUCGGGUCCUGGAAGAUCGAUGUAUUCUAUAGCUUCCCAUGGGUUUUAAUGGGUCCUUUUAUGGGGUCGGGUCCUGGAAGGUCAAAGUGUUAUAGGGCCGCCCAUGGGCUCCAAAGGGUCCUUUUAUGGGGUCG